AUUGAACGCUGGCGGCAGGCUUAACACAUGCAAGUCGAGCGGGGUGAUGGUGCUUGCACUAUCACUUAGCGGCGGACGGGUGAGUAAUGCGUCGGAACGUGCCGAGUAGUGGGGGAUAACGCAGCGAAAGUUGUGCUAAUACCGCAUACGUACUGAGGUAGAAAGUGGGGGACCUUCGGGCCUCACGCUAUUCGAGCGGCCGACGUCUGAUUAGCUAGUAGGUGAGGUAAAGGCUCACCUAGGCGACGAUCAGUAGCGGGUCUGAGAGGAUGAUCCGCCACACUGGGACUGAGACACGGCCCAGACUCCUACGGGAGGCAGCAGUGGGGAAUUUUGGACAAUGGGCGAAAGCCUGAUUCAGCCAUGCCGCGUGUCUGAAGAAGGCCCUCGGGUUGUAAAGGACUUUUGUCAGGGAGGAAAUCCCUAGUGCUAAUAACACUGGGGGAUGACAGUACCUGAAGAAUAAGCACCGGCUAACUACGUGCCAGCCGCCGCCGUAA
rnacentral:rRNA from 1 species